UUGCUCCUCUACCUGGCGCUUUUCUUCUUCCUGCUCUUCCUGCUUUUCCUGCUCCUCUUCGGGGUCAUCAAGCAGCUGAAGAACUCCGUGGCCAGCACCGGGGCUCUCCAGCCGGGCCGCCACUCUUUGCGGGAGCCCUGGGGCUUCUGCCGGGAGCAGACCCUCUGAGGCGGCCUCGGCGGGAGAGGGGCGCCGCCCUGCUCCGCCUCCAGGGGGCGCCCCGGAGAACGCUGGGCGCUCAAGCGCCCCUUUGCCUCCAGCGGCUGCCUUCCUCCGCACCCCUCGCCGCCUCUAAACGCCAGGAGCCGCCUGGUGGACUUUGAUGGAGUAACUGAAGUCCAUGUUUUUCCGAAGCAGUCACAGUACGAAGCUGACAAUUGUCCUCUGGAAGUGCUGGGGCUCAUGUUUGUCUGGAAGUCACUCCCUGGAUCUGAAAGAAUCUUCCUGACGGACCCCUUGUACCACUGGGUGUCAGGAGAAAAUGCAACAUCAUUUAUCCUUGGAAAAAAAGUAUGUAGGAUGAUGCUCUUUGGAAACCGACAAUCUGCUUGAAAAGACAGCUGCAUUAGGAGAUUGGAGAAGUAGCAGCAUAAACAAGAAUGGCCAUGCAACAUACAGUAGCAAUGUAUUUGAGUGACAAAUUGCAACAUUCGUUUUAUAAUCCUUGUAAUUCCCCCCUCCUGAAGUACCCCAAAUGAUGUUUGUUUGUUUUGCCAAUCUCUACAAACCUGGUUAGCCCAUUAAUUGUCCCCUCCCUUUCAAAUAGAUUCAUUACAGUGGCUGAAUGGCAGGCAUCUCUUUAGACUGCAACAAAAACUAGAAUGGAAAUGUAUACAGCAGUAUCUUGAUUUAAAUUCAUCUCCUGUGCCCCAGCUAACUUUGUUUCUUUGUUUUACAAAUGAAAUUUAUACUCUCUUGUGAUUUAUGCAUUUGUCUUUCUGGAAACCCUGAACUGAAAUAAUAACACUCGUACCUGGAUUAAAAAGUACUGACCUUCAGCACUGAGGAUGAAGAGAGCAGAAAUCCUUAUUUAAUCAUUAUUCUUAAAGAUCCAUUAAGCUGGAACAUCAGUCAAUAGCGUAUCUGCUCUACAGAACUUAUAAUGCUUGUUAGCAAUUUCAGACAACAAGUCUGUUCUGGCCCAUCUACACAAACAUGCAGCUUCCAUGUAGCUGAAUAUAUUUUAGAGUUUAUGAUAAUCUAUAUGUGGAAAAGCCAAUUCCUUUUAUACUCAAGAAUUGACCCCAUGGACCAGAGCAUGCCAGGUCUUGUCUUUCUGCCUCCUGGA